rnacentral:rRNA from 1 species
UACGUAGGGUGCAAGCGUUAAUCGGAAUUACUGGGCGUAAAGCGUGCGCAGGCGGUUUUGUAAGUCAGAUGUGAAAUCCCCGGGCUUAACCUGGGAACUGCGUUUGAAACUACAAGGCUAGAGUGUGGCAGAGGGGGGUGGAAUUCCGACGUGUAGCAGUGAAAUGCGUAGAGAUGUGGAGGAACACCGGAUGGCGAAGGCAGCCCCCUGGGUU